rfam:Alligator mississippiensis ScZkoYb_212, whole genome shotgun sequence.
GGUGCCAUGGUGUAGCUGGUUCAAGUACCUGUCUAUUAAACUAGAAAUUCUGGAUUCAAAUCCCAGUGGUGCCU